ensembl:snoRNA
CUCCAGUGCUACAUUUGCCACUUAAAAAUAUUUUUCUUUCUUAGUCAUGGAAGAGAAUCUUCUCGUUUAUUGACAAAAUUACCACCAUUCAAUUGGUUUCAGAUUCUUGAGCUGCAGAGCAACAUUC